UUUUCAGUUCUGUGCGUUACGGAGUAUAGCACAGAACGUAUGUCUAAACAUAACGCAACGCACAAAACAGGUAUAUGUGCGGUUCGUUCAUGCGUGUGGUUGUCACGUGAGUGAUGGUCACUCAGGUGGACAUAGGCGGGAAUUUGCACGGGGUGUUCAUUGUUUGGUCAGUUCUACGCUAGACUUCGAUCAGUAAACUUUUACUUUUUUAAAUUCGAACCGCAUUAGUAGUAAAUUGGCUCAAAUGACAUGUUAUGUUUGUGUUACAUAAUGUUUAGUUACAUGUUAAUAUUGGUUGUUUUCAGGUACAGUUUUUUCAGAGUUAUUUUACAUUGGGCUUCUGAUGAAUUUUUAUCUCUGGUUUUUACCCUGGCCUUGAAAACACCAAUUAAGGACACAAUACUAGAAAUGAUGUAUACACAUUAUAGUUAUAAUUUGUUAUAUAAUUUAUAGAUCGAAAAUUGUCCUGUCAAGGUUGUACUACGAUUGUACUUGAUUGCUAUAUGAUACGAAUAUGAAAUAUUCGUGGAUGUGUGUUGUCAAUAAACUGAUCGCAAGCCUUGCCCAAUGCAAAA